rnacentral:rRNA from 1 species
GAUGAACGCUGGCGGCGUGCCUAAUACAUGCAAGUCGAGCGAACGGACGAGAAGCUUGCUUCUCUGAUGUUAGCGGCGGACGGGUGAGUAACACGUGGAUAACCUACCUAUAAGACUGGGAUAACUUCGGGAAACCGGAGCUAAUACCGGAUAAUAUUUUGAACCGCAUGGUUCAAAAGUGAAAGACGGUCUUGCUGUCACUUAUAGAUGGAUCCGCGCUGCAUUAGCUAGUUGGUAAGGUAACGGCUUACCAAGGCAACGAUGCAUAGCCGACCUGAGAGGGUGAUCGGCCACACUGGAACUGAGACACGGUCCAGACUCCUACGGGAGGCAGCAGUAGGGAAUCUUCCGCAAUGGGCGAAAGCCUGACGGGGCAACGCCGCGUGAGUGAUGAAGGUCUUCGGAGCGUAAAGCUCUGUUAUUAGGGAAGAACAUAUGUGUAAGUAACUGUGCACAUCUUGACGGUCCCUAAUCAGAAAGCCACGGCUAACUACG